rnacentral:rRNA from 1 species
GCUGGCGGCGUGCCUAACACAUGCAAGUCGAACGAAGCAAUUAAGAUGAAGUUUUCGGAUGGAAUCUUGAUUGACUGAGUGGCGGACGGGUGAGUAACGCGUGGAUAACCUGCCUCACACUGGGGGAUAACAGUUAGAAAUGACUGCUAAUACCGCAUAAGCGCACAGUGCCGCAUGGCAGUGUGUGAAAAACUCCGGUGGUGUGAGAUGGAUCCGCGUCUGAUUAGCCAGUUGGCGGGGUAACGGCCCACCAAAGCGACGAUCAGUAGCCGACCUGAGAGGGUGACCGGCCACAUUGGGACUGAGACACGGCCCAAACUCCUACGGGAGGCAGCAGUGGGGAAUAUUGCACAAUGGGCGAAAGCCUGAUGCAGCGACGCCGCGUGAGUGAAGAAGUAUUUCGGUAUGUAAAGCUCUAUCAGCAGGGAAGAAAAUGACGGUACCUGACUAAGAAGCCCCGGCUAACUACGUGCCAGCAGCCGCGGUAAUACGUAGGGGGCAAGCGUUAUCCGGAUUUACUGGGUGUAAAGGGAGCGUAGACGGCGAAGCAAGUCUGAAGUGAAAACCCAGGGCUCAACCCUGGGACUGCUUUGGAAACUGUUUUGCUAGAGUGUCGGAGAGGUAAGUGGAAUUCCUAGUGUAGCGGUGAAAUGCGUAGAUAUUAGGAGGAACACCAGUGGCGAAGGCGGCUUACUGGACGAUAACUGACGUUGAGGCUCGAAAGCGUGGGGAGCAAACAGGAUUAGAUACCCCUGGUAGUCCACGCCGUAAACGAUGAAUGCUAGGUGUUGGGGGGCAAAGCCCUUCGGUGCCGCCGCAAACGCAGUAAGCAUUCCACCUGGGGAGUACGUUCGCAAGAAUGAAACUCAAAGGAAUUGACGGGGACCCGCACAAGCGGUGGAGCAUGUGGUUUAAUUCGAAGCAACGCGAAGAACCUUACCAAGUCUUGACAUCCCCCUGACGGGCCGGUAACGCGGCCUUUCCUUCGGGACAGGGGAGACAGGUGGUGCAUGGUUGUCGUCAGCUCGUGUCGUGAGAUGUUGGGUUAAGUCCCGCAACGAGCGCAACCCUUAUCCUUAGUAGCCAGCACGUGAAGGUGGGCACUCUAGGGAGACUGCCAGGGAUAACCUGGAGGAAGGUGGGGAUGACGUCAAAUCAUCAUGCCCCUUAUGAUUUGGGCUACACACGUGCUACAAUGGCGUAAACAAAGGGAAGCGAGACAGUGAUGUGGAGCAAAUCCCAAAAAUAACGUCCCAGUUCGGACUGUAGUCUGCAACCCGACUACACGAAGCUGGAAUCGCUAGUAAUCGCGAAUCAGAAUGUCGCGGUGAAUACGUUCCCGGGUCUUGUACACACCGCCCGUCACACCAUGGGAGUCAGCAACGCCCGAAGUCAGUGACCCAACCGAAAGGAGGGAGCUGCCGAAGGCGGGGCAGG